CCUACGGGAGGCAGCAGUGGGGAAUAUUGGGCAAUGGGCGCAAGCCUGACCCAGCAACGCCGCGUGAAGGAAGAAGGCUUUCGGGUUGUAAACUUCUUUUCUCAGGGACGAAGCAAGUGACGGUACCUGAGGAAUAAGCCACGGCUAACUACGUGCCAGCAGCCGCGGGAAUACGUAGGUGGCAAGCGUUAUCCGGAUGUACUGGGUGUAAAGGGCGUGUAGGCGGGACUGCAAGUCAGAUGUGAAAACCACGGGCUCAACCUGUGGCCUGCAUUUGAAACGGUAGUUCGUGAGUACUGGAGAGGCAUACGGAAUGCCUGGUGUAGCGGUGAAAUGCGUAGAUAUUAGGAGGAACACCAUUGGCGAAGGCGGUCUGCUGGACAGCAACUGACGCUGAGGCGCGAAAGCGUGGGGAGCAAACAGGAUUAGAUACCCUGGUAGUC
rnacentral:rRNA from 1 species